CUAGUGGCAAACGGGUGAGUAACAUGUAAGCAACCUACCUUCUAGACGGGCAUAACCCCGCGAAAGCGGAGCUAAUUCCCGAUAUGGUUAGAGAAAAGCAUUUUUUUCUAAACAAACGAAUUAAAUCGCUAGAAGAUGGGCUUACAUCCUAUCAGCUUGUUGGCGGGGUAACGGCCCACCAAGGCGACGACGGGUAGCUGGUCUGAGAGGACGAUCAGCCACAAGGGAACUGAGACACGGUCCCUACUCC
rnacentral:rRNA from 1 species